rnacentral:miRNA from 1 species
ACUUCAUGAUGCUCAGUGAAAUUUGCAUUGUAGAUAAACAGUGAUUCAUGUUUUCAGUAUAAGUUUGUUGUGUGCAAUAUUUGAGACAUACUUAUGCUAAAAAUGACUCAGUGUUUUAUCAAAAGUUCAGACUUUUUCUAGGCAUC